AAAGAAAGAAGGAAUACCAAAAUCAGAUGCUGAAUAGUUGCAAUCAGCGAUAGUAGACCCUGCAAGCAGAGACGACUGCAAGAAUCAACUAAGAGGCUGAGACCAUGUGAAGAAAUGGAGAAGGAGAAGGACAACCGAAAGGGAAACAUGCAUAACAUCCCAUGUGUGCCUCUGUUGUAUGUCUCUCUCGUUAAAAUAUAUAGAGAAAGUGUCCUAUUCCUUGUUUGUUUCAAGUAUAAUAGAAGCUGGCUACUGUGCGGUGCGGACAUAAAUGUAGCUUCAAUGUGCUCAACAAACACAAAUGCCUCAAAAUUAAUGAUAGGUUCAUUGAACCUAAAAUUGGAAUGUCCAUAAACUCUUUUUGCCUACUUAAUUUAUUAAGGCUCUCUUUUCUAGUUUUAGUAAAAAGUCUCAGAUUUGACAGCACCCAUUAUUUUUUCAAUGAUAUUGUGUUAAGUAGGGUUCCUCCACUUUACUAUCGCGUAUUUCAGAACAAACCACUCUAUUGAUUAGCAUCUUAGCUUAAUUAAGACAGAAUUAUGACUUUGGUUUAUGAUAUCCUUGC
rnacentral:lncRNA from 1 species